UUUCGGAUAUCCGAAAAUCGGAUAAUCCGAAAAUUCGGGUUCGGAUUCGGAUGUUAGUUUUACAGAUUUUCGGAUAUUCGGAUUAUCCGAAUCCGAAAUCUUAAAAAAUAAUAAAAAUAGAUAUAUUUUAAUAUAUCAUAUAUAUCCUGAUUUUUUAAUUCAUAAGUCAGUAACAAAACAAUUAAAACACACACCACGCGCAUUCAAGUUCAGUCAUUUACUCAUUCACACUUAGAGAAACUAGGGUUUCUCUUUGGAUCUCAGCGCCGCAUCCUCUCCCUCGUCAUCGACCCUCUCCCGCAUCCUCUACCUGCGACAUCGACCCUCUCCGAUCCGGCAUCCUCUCCCUCGUCAUCUGUCUCGGUGUCUCCGGUGACAAAAGAUAUUGGAUAUUGUUUGCUUUUUGAGUUCACAUCUUCAUCAGAUCUUCAAAAGUUAUCGCAGGUUUACAUUGGGACGAAUAGUGGAUGUUUACAAGUGCUUGUGGCUGGAUUUUUCGUUUUUAUUAUAAGAACUUUUGGAAGUUAUGUCUUAUUUUGAAUGUUUAUUGUUUAAAACUUUGGAUUGUUUUGAAUAUUUUGUGGUGGUUUGAACUUUGAACUUUUAAGCUUGAAUUUAUCAUCACUUGUUUAGUUUU